UUUCGAUUGAUGAGUCCCAAAUAGGACGAAGCUCGAGUCUUGAAU
rnacentral:hammerhead_ribozyme from 1 species